AAUUAGUUUGAUUCUAGCUAAUUUGUUAGCUUUUAUGAAUAGUUACAUGUAAAAUUAUAUAAAUUUUAAGUUAGUAUCAGUAAUAAGUAUUUAUUAGGUAAAAAAUUUUAUAUAAGAUAUUUUAUAAAAAUAGAUUAAUUUUGUGCCAGCAUUCGCGGUUAUACAAUUUAUUUGUGUUAAUAAUUUAGGUAAAAAAUUAUUUUAGUUGAAUUAGAUUUGUUUAUAUUAAAAUUUAGGUGGAAUUUGUUUUUAAAGAUAUAAUCUGCUACAAAAUUAUUUGUAAACCAUAUUAUUAAACUAGGAUUAGAUACCCUAUUAUUUUUGGCUUAUUUAAACAGGACAUUAGUAGUUAUUUACUAUGAAACUCAAAGAAUUUGGCGGUGAUUUAUAUCUUUUUAGAGGAAUCUGAUCUUUAAUCGAUAAACCACGAUAUGUUUUACCUUUUAAUUAUUUGUAUAUCUCUAUGUAAUAGAAUGUUUUAUAAAGGAUAUUUUCUUUAUUUUCUAAAAAUUAUUUUAGGUCAAGGUGCAGUUUUUAUUACGGAUAGUUUGGGUUACUUUAGUUUUAUUUAUAAAUUAUAUAAUUAUUUAUUUAUAGUAAUAUUAUUAGGAUUUAACAGUAAUUUUAAUUACUUUAUUAAUUUGAAUCUAGUUUUAAGUCAUGUACAUAUCGCCCGUCACUCCUAAUUAUAGGAUAAGUCGUAACAAAGUAAUUUUACCGGAAGGUGAGGUUGGAUAAAU
rnacentral:ncRNA from 1 species